rnacentral:rRNA from 1 species
CCCUUAGAUGUUCUGGGCCGCACGCGUGCUACACUGAGUGGAUCAGCGGGUCAGGUUGCGCGAAAGCGUUUCCUAAUCUUUAAAUCCGCUCGUGAUGGGGAUUGACGGUUGCAAUUUUCUGUCAUGAACGAGGAAUACCUUGUAAGCGCGGGUCAUCAUCCCGCGCUGAAUACGUCCCUGCCCUUUGUACACACCGCCCGUCGCUCCUACCGAUUGAACGGUUUAGUGAGGGCCUCGGAUUGGUCUCGGCCCGCUCUUUACCGGGCGGCGCCGUUGGUCGAGAAGACGCUCGAACUUGAUCGUUUAGAGGAAGUAAAAGUCGUAACA